rnacentral:rRNA from 1 species
GACGAACGCUGGCGGCGUGCCUAAUACAUGCAAGUAGAACGCACAGUUUAUACCGUAGCUUGCUACACCAUAGACUGUGAGUUGCGAACGGGUGAGUAACGCGUAGGUAACCUGCCUGGUAGCGGGGGAUAACUAUUGGAAACGAUAGCUAAUACCGCAUAAUAUUGAUUAUUGCAUGAUAAUUGAUUGAAAGAUGCUAUUGCAUCACUACCAGAUGGACCUGCGUUGUAUUAGCUAGUAGGUGAGGUAACGGCUCACCUAGGCGACGAUACAUAGCCGACCUGAGAGGGUGAUCGGCCACACUGGGCGUGAGACACGGCCCAGACUCCGACGGGAGGCAGCAGUAUGGAAUGUUCGGCGAUGGACGAAAGUCUGACCGAGCAACUCCGCGUGAGUGAAGAAGGUUUUCGGUUCGUAUAGCUCUGUUGUAAGGGAAGAACGGGUGUGAGAUUGGAAAGUUCCCACUGUGACGGGAUCUUACCAGAAAGGGACGGAUAACUACGGG